rnacentral:lncRNA from 1 species
UCAGCCACUGGAUGCCAAUGCCAAGGUCACACAGAGACAUGGCUGGGAGGGUCUCGGCCUAAGCAGGCAGGCUCAGAGCUGUGUCAUGCUCUUUCCCAAUGUGAUGAGCAUUUUCUAGAGAUGCUCUGUUGCAGGUGCAAAGCUGGGCAGGCGCCCUAUAAAACUGUAAGAUACUACGGCUUGUGGUGUAAUCUGGUGGCCACCUCGCCCCUCACCUUCUGUCCCCUCCUCUCCUUUUGUUUCCUUUCUCUCCCUUCCUCUUCUCCACCCCCCCAUUCUCUCCUCUUCUCUUUCUCUUCUCUGCCUUCCCCUCCCUGCCUAUAUCUCCUCUCUGUUUCACUUCUCUUCCUCCGUCUCUAUCCUGUCCCCUCCCGUUCUAUCUUGCCCUACUUACUUCAUUCCAUUUCCCCCACAGUGGUAUUUAUUAUGAAAGUAAGAAAAAAAGUAACCACCCAUGUAUUAAGAGACUUGAAAAAAUAUACUAAUUAAGUACUUGAAAAUAGAUAUUUCCCCAAAUCAAAUUCUAAGCAUGG